rnacentral:rRNA from 1 species
AGUGAAUAGAUACCCAGGUAGUCCACGCUGUAAACGAUGGAUGCUAGCUGUGAUGCGUAUCGACCCGCGUCGUAGCGAAGCUAACGCGUUAAGCAUCCCGCCUGUGGAGUACGGCCGCAAGGCUAAAACAUAAAGGAAUUGACGGGGACCCGCACAAGCGGUGGAGCGUGUUGUUUAAUUCGAUGGUAAGCGAAGAACCUUACCCAGGUUUGACAUCCUUGGAAAUUCUGCGAAAGCAGAGUGUGCCUUUUGGUAACCAAGUGACAGGUGAUGCAUGGCCGUCUUCAGCUCGUGUCGUGAGACGUUAGGUUAAGUCCUUCAACGAGCGCAACCCUUAUAGUUAGUUGUAUUUUACUUAGCUAGACUGCCCUGGUAACAGGGAGGAAGGAGGGGAUGAUGUCAGGUCAGUAUCUCCCUUAUAUCUGGGGCUACAACACGCUACAAUGGCCGGUACAAAGGGAAGCCAACCCGCGAGGGGUAGCAAAUCCCAUCAAACGCCGGUCUCAGUUCGGAUUGUAGGCUGAAACUCGCCUGC